rnacentral:rRNA from 1 species
GGCACCGCCUGCCCAGUGACUUAUGAUUCAACGGCCGCGGUAUUUUGACCGUGCAAAGGUAGCGCAAUAACUUGUCCUUUAAAUGGAGACUAGUAUGAAUGGCAUGACGAGGGCUUAUCUGUCUCCUUUUUUAGGUCAAUGAAAUUGAUCUCCCCGUGCAAAAGCGGGGAUGAAAACAUAAGACGAGAAGACCCUGUGGAGCUUCAGACACCAAGACAAAUCACGUUAAGAACGCCCCCAUAAGGGCUUUAAACUAAAUGGAACCUGCUCUGAUGUCUUUGGUUGGGGCGACCGCGGAGAAUAAAAAAACCUCCCCCCUCCGCGUGGAAUGAGGACAACUUACUUGACAACCCCUCACAACCUAGAGUCACUACUCAAAUUAACAGAAAUUCUGACCAUUAUUGAUCCAGCUCUUAAGCUGAUCAACGAACCGAGUUACCCCAGGGAUAACAGCGCAAUCCCCUUUUAGAGUCCAUAUCGACAAGGGGGUUUACGACCUCGAUGUUGGAUCAGGACAUCCUAAUGGUGCAGCCGCUAUUAAGGGUUCGUUUGUUCAACGAUUAAAGUCCUACGUGAUC